UGAAGUUUUUAGUUUGCUCACAUCCAAAAUUCUCCUAAGGUUGUUCCUAUUUUUUCGUGCUCGAUCGAUAAGGAUAACUUGUGAAUUUAGGUGGCUUGGUGUUGAGGCCUACCAAUUUCUCCAUUAUGUGGUGUUGCCUCAUAAGAAGACUUGAAGUUGGGGUGAAGAGGGCAGUGAUUUGAGCCGACAAAAUGUGCCAUAUAUAUUGUUAAAAUCAUAGCACCAUUUUAUUCUUCAUAAUUUAAUUAUUAUUUUGAUUUGAUUAA